GGUCUAUGUUUUGAGAUGAACUUUUAGUAAUGGCGUUGCUGCGGUAAUUAGUUUCGCAUUCGCAAAAGAAUGGACGUUUGAGAACCUUUAAUGAAACCUAAAUUCAAGAAAUUCAUUUGGUCUCGUUAUUUUUUUUAAAGGCGGGACUCGGUUCCUAAUGAGGACGAAAAGCAGGACUUUUGUGGACUCAAGCAGACCAGUUUGUGGAAAGCUAAUGAGGGUCUGGCCGACAGAGCACUGGACCCUGGAGAGACGACAUUGUGAAUACAAGCUUCUCUUGUGUGUAUAAUCAGUCAGACCCAGGAAAAGUCUGAAGAGAACCAGGACCGCAGUUCCCGGUAGGAGUCCUGAUGCAUGAGCUUUACACCUCUAAUGACCAAUUCACCUUCUGACAGAGCAGACCAGCUCUGACGGCAUGGCAGAUCCAGAGAUACGUCUCCCGUAGCAACGGAAGAGCUUUAAAGUCCAACCGUGGCUUUGUCACCCUGUCAAAUCACCG